GUUGGGUUAUCCUCCUGUCUGUCGUGUGCUGGCUGUUGGCCAGUUUUCAGAUAUGGGCCUGCAAGUAGCUGUAAUCCUGCAUGGUGAGCGACUAUGUGUAUUGCAGCAUUGUACUGUUUUCUUGCAGGAUUGAUUGCACGUCCAGGGGUUUCUAAUGAUCUUAAUUGAAGCCUAACGAACCUCACGUAACUGACUGCACUUCUGCUCUGCUCUACUCUG